UGAUCAUUCCUUUAACUUGUCUAGUAAAUGUUAAUGUGCUGCUUCUUUCAGAGGAUGAUCUUCCCUUUAUCCUUUCAUGGAAUUCCCCCAUUCACUUCCCUUCCAUUCCUUGUCCCCAUGCCCUCCCUGCACUGUACAAGUACUAUAUCAAGCUUGUAUGCACACAUACCUCUGCCUGCCACCACCAAGGUUCGAAUUUCGCUCUUGUAAGACCAACAAACCAUCUUACUCUGAGCCAACACACACAUCUCCAGCUUGUCUGUGGCAUAACCAUUGCCUGUCAUGGAGUAGUAGGUGAGGCAAGGUAAAUAUGAUGAUAAGAUCUACUAGUAUAUUCAAUAGUUACCCUUGGAGGAAUGAGUCAGGUGGUGUGUGAAUAUGUCUACUUUGGCUAUAGCUUUAUAUAAUCAAAAGAUAGGCUCAAUUUUUUAUAGAUAUCUCACAGUAGUAGAAUGAGCUUUUUUUGUGUCUGAAGGCAUUUGCAAUAUUAUUUAUGUCUUUCUUUUAUGUAUUACUAUCAGAAUUAUCACUAUGUACUAUAUCCAGUAUUCAUUUCUUUUAUGAGUUGAUCUAAUAUGUUAUUUUUAUCCAUGUUUGGUAUGUAAAGUGUAAGGUCUGUUAGGUAAAGGCUGAUGGAGUUGGGUAGUUGCAAUGUAUAGUAGAAGGGAAGAGAGUGGGCACAGAAUGGGAAAUGUGAAAGUUAGUCUUAUUGACAAGGACAAUAGACAUGGGAAGAGUUUUGGGUGUACACUUGUGAUACUGAUGUUACAUACUGAUGUGAUGAUGGGUUACAGUUACACAAAGAGGACAAGCAGUUGAUGAGAUAUACGAAGGUGAACAAUUGCACAUAAUGAGGAUAUUUAUAGUGAUAGAGUUUAUUUAUAAUAUAAAUGUUGAUGUAUAAAUGUUUAGAAAGCUGUGUGACUGCAUUGCUUGUGUGUGCAAACAGGUCGUCACUCGGCACACAAGGCUACUGUUAAAAGAGUGUGCCUUUGUUUCCAUGUAUACAGUUCCUGGAAUACACAAACACCUUCUGACACUUGACAAGUCCUUGAAGACCAUGUAUGAAGACUUUACAAUUACUAUGCAGGUGUUUCCACACUCGUGCCACAAAUCACAAAUUCAGACGAGAUCAGCUCCACACCAGCAUACAGUGUUCCCUCUUAAUACACGCCCUGUGUUGUGUACUUCUCAUGAAUAUUUACAUAAGAGCUGACUUAUUGUAAGCAGAUUUAAUGUUUUAGAAAUAUUCCAUUAAUGUUGAUAUUUCUGUGUAAAUUAUCAGUACUUAAUUAACAGCUAAUUAACCAAAAGUUCAAUAAUUAGAUGUUACUCUGUAGUCUGUGCAAAUCUACCACAUAGCUGACUCAUUAAACAUAUUGAUGGCAACAGAUGAAGAGCUACAAAAUCUUUUAAACACAGCAAGAAAAACACACUCACGAUAAAUGUUCAAGCUUUGCUGUCCGUUAAUAGCAGUGUGUGUGUUCAGUCUGACCUUGGGCGUUGAAGGAGUGGCAUUGACUUUUCAUGUUACGUGUGCUGAUUGAUUGAUGUUUUGGUGGGAUGGCAAGGAGGUCAUACAGUGCUUCACUGUAUGUGUGAAGUAUACAGUAUGUCGGCACAACUACGCAGAGAUAGAAAUCGAGAUAAUUUUAUAACAGUUACCAUUGAUUAACAUUAAUGCUGCAUCAAAAAUCUUUAAGAAGAAACAUUCCAUUUGGAAACAUUUAUCGUGAGUGUGUUUUUCUUGCUGUGUUUAAAAGAUUUUGUAGCUCUUCAUCUGUUGCCAUCAAUAUGUUUAAUGAGUCAACUAUGUGGUAGAUUUGCACAGACUACAGAGUAACAUCUAAUUAUUGAACUUUUGGUUAAUUAGCUGUUACUUUGUUGCAUUUACAAAAAGGAGGACCACAGAGGAUUCCACUCUCCCUCUGCUGUCUAGUUUUUAUUGAUUAUAGUGUUAUGCUGAUGACCUUUGAUCUAGAAUCUGGGUUUGGAACUUGAAAUAACCUGAUGCUCCUUGAACUUCAAAGAAGAUUCACACAAAGCACAUUUAAAUUCUGUCUUGUCUCCAUGGUAUUAUUGGGAGACAGGCAGACGUUUCUCUUUUCCUUAUUUGUGUGGAACUGCUGCAGCCAUCAUGGGGAUGAUUGGUGUGGAAACCUCCUUUGCAGAUCAUAGUUGCUCUGCUCCCAAACCCAAGACUUUGGACAUUUAAGAUUGAAAUGAAUACCUUGUAGAAUUUUGACCCAAUGACCAUCUAUUGGUCAUUUUAAAUCCUGCUUUGAGUAUUUUCACUCCCAAAUUCAGCUGCAGAUGUGUGCACAGACUAGUGGUUGGUGAAACAUGAAUGAGUCAAAAGUUAAUCUUAACAGUCAUAGAUAAUAAGUAUAACUCAUUCUAGAAAGAAUUUUGCAAUUUGUAAUAUGUGGCAGUUGACAUUCAUACAACUCAUGUUCUGAAAUACCUCUCUUAACAUACAAUGGUCUGUGGACUUUCCUUGACGUUACACACACACACACACACACACACACACACACACACACACACACACACACACACACACACACACACACACACACACACACACACACACACACACACACACACACACCAGGAUGCAAAGAACGCACAAAGUCAGAUAACUGGAAUAUGUAUUACAUAUUUCUUCUGUGUAGAUAGAGCAAACUUUUAAAUGCCUUGACAAAAAGCAAUCCUUGAUUAAAUUUUGUACUACUGUCCAUAAGAUAGUCUGCAAGAUUCAUCACUAAUAAUAUAUUUUUGUAACUAGAGAACAUUGUGAAAGAUUUUUUAUA